UACGGAGGGAGCUAGCGUUGUUCGGAAUUACUGGGCGUAAAGCGCACGUAGGCGGCUUUGUAAGUUAGAGGUGAAAGCCUGGGGCUCAACCCCGGAAUUGCCUUUAAGACUGCAUCGCUUGAAUCCAGGAGAGGUGAGUGGAAUUCCGAGUGUAGAGGUGAAAUGCGUAGAUAUUCGGAAGAACACCAGUGGCGAAGGCGGCUCACUGGACUGGUAUUGACGCUGAGGUGCGAAAGCGUGGGGAGCAAACAGG
rnacentral:rRNA from 1 species